rnacentral:tRNA from 1 species
AGCUAUUUAGCUUAAAGUUAAAAGCAUUUAUUUUGAAAAUAAAAGAUAGAAAAAUUUAAUAGCUU